rnacentral:rRNA from 1 species
AUUGAACGCUGGCGGCAGGCCUAACACAUGCAAGUCGAACAGUAACAGGAAGAAGCUUGCUUCUUUGCUGACGAGUGGCGGACGGGUGAGUAAUGUCUGGGAAACUGCCUGAUGGAGGGGGAUAACUACUGGAAACGGUAGCUAAUACCGCAUAACGUCGCAAGACCAAAAAGGGGGACCUUCGGGCCUCUUGCCCUCGGAUGUGCCCAGAUGGGAUUAGCUAGUAGGUGGGGUAACGGCUCACCUAGGCGACGAUCCCUAGCUGGUCUGAGAGGAUGACCAGCCACACUGGAACUGAGACACGGUCCAGACUCCUACGGGAGGCAGCAGUGGGGAAUAUUGCACAAUGGGCGCAAGCCUGAUGCAGCCAUGCCGCGUGUAUGAAGAAGGCCUUCGGGUUGUAAAGUACUUUCAUCGGGGAGGAAGGGAGUAAAGUUAAUACCUUUGCGCAUUGACGUUACCCGCAGAAGAAGCACCGGCUAACUCCGUG